ensembl:lncRNA
AAGACAAACAACUCAGCUUAAAAAUAGUCAAAGGAUUUCAAUACACAUCCUUCAAGGAAGAUAUACAAUAAGCACAUAAAGAGAUGUCCAAUCUCGCAAGUUCCAUUGUGGCGCAGUGAGUUAAGGAUCCGGCGUUGUCACUGGAGCGACCCAGCUCAGGUCGCUGGCCUGGGAACUUCCACAUGCUGCAAGUGCAGCCCCCCCAAAAAAGAGAGAUGUUCAUGCUCAUACAGGAAAUGCAAAUCAAAACCACGGCGAGACACUACUUCAUAGCCAGUAAGACGGAUAUAAUCAAGAAGACAGAAAACAAGUGUCAGCAAGGAUGUGGAGGAGUUUCCAACACUCCUGUGGCUGGUGGGAAUGUCAAAUGGAGAAGCUCCUUUAGAAAACAUCUAGAAGCCCUUAUAAUACUGAAAAUGGAGUUAGCUAGGACCCAGGACCUGCAGUCCUAAAUAUAUAUCUAAGAGAAUUGAAAAUAUAUGUUUGCACAAAAACUGGAACAUGAAUGUUCAUAGCAGCAUCCUUCAGAAUAGCAAAAUUGUGGAAACCAUCCAAAUGUUAGCUGAUAAUUGAAUAAAUAGAGUGUGAUGCAUCCAUACAAUGUAAUGCUAUUUAGCAAUGAAAAAUGAAAAUUCUGAUAGAUCCUACAGCAUGGACGGACUUUGAAAACAUGCAAAGUGAAAGAAGCCAAUCACAAAGGACCACAUGCUGUAUAAUUCCAUUCAUUUGCAAUGUCCAAAAUAGUCACCUCCACUGAUAAAGAAAGUAGAUUAGUAGUUGUCUAGUUUAGGGGCACUAGGGGGAAAUGGGGAGUGACUGCUAAUGGGUACAGAGUUCCUUUGGGAGUGAUAAUAUUCUAAAACAGAUAGAGUUGGUCCAUCUGUUUCAGAAUUCUGAGAACAGUGAAAAUCAUUACAUUUUAUCUUUUAUUGCAUAAAUAGUAUUACAUGUAAAUUAUAUUCAAUAAAGCUGUUAUAGUGGGUGGGAAUAUUUAGGAAAAUGCUAAGUCAGGAAUCUUGGAUCUAAAUGAUAAUUGUGGAUCUGGAGAGAAGUGGAUGCAUCCAAGAUCUACCUGGGGUGUAACUGAUGGGGGGGAGGAAAGUAAAGUGAAUACUGCUGCAUCUCUGCCUUUAAAUACUUGGAUGAUUGAAAGAACACGGGAAUGUUUGGGGAGAAGUGGAAGGUAAGUUUGUAAUGGAUUUGAAGUGCCUAUUAAAGAAGGGAACGAGCAUUUUUCAUUCUUCUCAGCUGCCCAGCACCUACCCUUUGCUUUGGCCCUUUUUCCGUCUGAUGCGUCAGAGCUGGUCUCUCAGUGUGGGAUGCUCCUCUCACAGCUAAGAUGACCCAGACCUUGUCAACUAGAAACACUUGGUCCACACUUCGAGGUGGAGACUUGGGAGAGGAAGGCCUUUAUAAAGUCCAUGCUAAUGUGGCAGCAGCGGUCCGAGGCAGAUUUCAGAGCUUCCAGGUACCUAGCAGGAGGGAUCCAGAGCUAUGACUGCAAGUGGGUGUCUGUGCCCACUUGUGACAGCAGUGGUUUUUUGUUUGUUUGUUUGUUUUGUUUUUUGGCCUUUAUUUACAGUAGCUUGAUGUGGGGUCUCAUUUCCCAGCCCAGAAUUAAACCCAGGCUGCAGUGGUGAAAGCACAGGGUCUUGAUCACUGGAUCAGCAGGGAACUCCCAAGAGCGGUGUAUCUUUUUUCAGCCAUCCCUGCGGCAGGUAGAAGUUCCUGGGACAGGGACCAAACCCAAGCCACAGCAGUGACAAUGCCGAGUCCUUAACCACUAGGCCACCAGGGGACUCCAACAGUGGUAUUUUUAUGGGCUCACUUCUACGUUGUGAUUGUGAGAGGUCUGUUUAUACACCCAUCCUCCAAACAUGAUGAAGCAUGGUUCUCUAAUGCUUUCCAAAGAUUCUGGGAGUUACCCUAAAUCUUUGCAAUACAGUCCUUUUCUAUCUAAUCAGCUGGAGAUGGUUUAUAUUGUUUGCAUCUAAGAGAAACCUGAGUGAUAAUAUCCGGAAGAAGAUGCUAAAAAGGCCAUUAGGUUUUGAGGAAGACUUCUGGGCUAAAGACAGGCAUUUGAAGUAGCCAUGGGUGAUUCUCUCAGAAUGGGUGGCACUUGGCAGUGUGAUUGAACUCAAUGCACUGUUUAGCAAAAAAUGGAUACAUUGCUUAUGUAAUUACACGUGGGUUAUAAAAUUUGGUGCAUAGGGU